AGGACGGAGGCACCGCCCACUUCACCUGAGCAGGAAUCUCUCUUAAAGAGAACUUUGCGCAGCCAGACCUGAGCUGCGCUGACCGCCAAACCUGUUGGGAAGGGUUUAAAGACGCAGACCCGUCUUGGUCCUCCCCACGACCCGCGCUUUUCAAGGAAAUGGAAGCUAUGAAUGACUUAACUUGGGAAGGGAAGACUACUUUAGCGGACUUCUCUUAGUUUUACCUGGGACUCCAGAACAGGGGAGGCGAGGGGCUCAAGCUCUUCCUAAGAGUAGGCUGGAACGUUUGCCUCCCAAGUUACAGUAUUUACUUAGGAAUAAAUAACACCGUAUUUGAACAUACGGAAGGUGCAUCCAGGUUGACAACGUAGAGCAUUUCUUGUGAACACUGACCAAAGAAAGAAGCAAUUUGCGUUUCUGUGACUUAUGAUUUCAGGAAUAUUUCUUGAGAUGGGCUGACUACCUCUGACUAGAGGUAGGAAACACAUCCUUCAAAAGCAAGACUUAGAAGAGCAGAUCAUUUCCCUGGGACUUCAGAUGCUGUCCUGAGACCUGGCAACCAUGCAUCUGUACAACUAUCAGUUUCCAACUGCAUACUAAAACCAGCCAACUAACCUACCCUGCAUGGAAGCAGUUAGUCUACUGUAGCAAGUACCCAAAAGAGUCUUGCAACACCUUAAUUUAAACCAAAUUAGAGCAAAACAAAUAGUUUUACCUGGUGGGUGCUUUCUUUAGCAUGCAGUACCGCUUGUUUGGUGUCAAGAAUCCAUGAUGUUCAAGAACUCCUAUUGGUCUUCAGUUGAUGCCCUGAUCAGCCAUUCUAUGGUAUCCUACAGUUCAGGAAAAAUCAGGAAAAGGCCACGUGGCUAUAGAAAUGAUACAAAUGCAGGAACAAAUUCCAGACUGCUAGCUGAGGAGGCUCUUGAAACCACCUCCCUUCCACCCCCUCCCCUCCCCUAGAGCAUUUCCAGACUGCAGCUCUUUCCAACUAAGAAGCUGCCCUGGCCUCAACAUCAGCCACGUGGCUUUGGGAUAACAGCAUAUAAUUUUGGAGGUACCCACAAGUGAUGCACAGCCUUGAAGAAUAAGAUUUAUCGUUGGAAGAGCCCAAAACAUUAUGCCAAACAAGACCUGUGAAUCUUUAAGGUGCCACAAGACCCUUUCUUAGUUUCACUUUUCCUUCAUGAGCCCCACAUAAUUGCCAGACACCGAACAGAAUGUCCUCCUGUUCCUUGUGGCUGGAGAGAUAUCCAGAUUCCCACUUUCUAGGUUCUUCAGCUGGCCAGGCACUUGGCCAUUUCCUUCAACCAUUUCCAUGUUUUACUUUGACAGCUGUACACUGUUCAUGAUGCAUUUGUACAGAAUUUGCUGCAGAGGAGAAGCAUGCCAUUUUAGAGACAGUUGCAUCCUAUAGACUCUGGAAAGUAUGUAGAGCCUUACGACAGCAGCAGCAGCAGCGAUUAUAGUUUCACACUUGUUAUCAGGUCCAGUUGAAAGGAAACUGUGAAAAUAUGUUGUAGAUAACGAUCAGUGAAUCAAUAUCACAUGUUUGGCACUACUGUUUGGCUCAUUCAUUUUAGCUGAAUCAUUUGUUCAUGUUUAGUCUUUCAUUCUGUAUGAAUUAAGGGCUUUGCUCCUGCUGACUUUUUUUGCUUUUCCUCUGGUUGUGGACCACUGCAGAGAUUUUGCCCACAUUGUCCCUAUCAUAAAUAUUUCACCAUCAUUGUAUGAAAGUAAUUGAUGUACAAGAAUAUAUACUCUUUGUGGCACAUUGCUCAAAACACAGAAGUUUGCGUCUAGAUUGCAUUUAAAUAAUUUGCUUCCUUCUCUCAGUUUGCAAUUUUUUAAAAAAUACACUUUUAUCAGUCCUUGACUGUUUCUUGAAAUUUCACUGUGCUGAAAUGACGGUCCUUUGCAAUUAGGCAAUAGCUUCCUAUUACCACUGAAAAAAGAGGCAGGGAAGUGAAACUGAUGCAGAGCCUUUUAGUUUCAACCGCUGCCUUCCCUUUCACCUUCAAAAGAACAGCAUGUGGAACCAGCAAAUUAACCCACACACUUCAAACACCAGAAGGGAGGUGAUGGUUUUCUAAGCUUCAUGACUACUGCCUGUUGAAAUAUCAAAAUACUGUAUUAAAUUUGAAACUAACCAGAAAAACCAAGUGGGCAAAUUUGACAGUUCCAAAAAGGACUGGACACCCUGAA